CCCUACGGGGUGCAGCAGGCGCGAAACCUUUACAAUGCACGCAAGUGUGAUAAGGGAAUCCAGAGUGCUAAUACUUAGUAUUAGCUUUUUUUAAGGGUAAAUACCUUGAAGAAUAAGUGGUGGAUAAGACUGGUGCCAGCCGCCGCGGUAACACCAGCGCCACGAGUGGGAACCACGUUUAUUUGGCCUAAAGCGUCCGUAGCCGGAUUAGCAAAUUUUUUGUGAAAUUGUUGAGCUUAACUUAACAGCGUGCAAGAAACACUACUAAUCUUGGAACUGGGAGGAGUCAGAGGUAUUCCUUGGGGAGCGGUAAAAUGCUAUAAUCCUUGGAAGACCACCUGUGGCGAAGGCGUCUGACUAGAACAGGUUCGACGGUGAGGGACGAAAGCUAGGGGCGCGAUCCGGAUUAGAUACCCGAGUAGUCCUAGCUGUAAACGCUGCGAGCUAGGUGUUGCAUAUUCUUCGUGAAUAUGCAGUAUCGUAACGAAGGUGUUAAGCUCGCCGCCUGGGGAGUAUGGUCGCAAGGCUGAAACUUAAAGGAAUUGGCGGGGGAGCAC
rnacentral:rRNA from 1 species